rnacentral:rRNA from 1 species
AUUGAACGCUGGCGGCAGGCUUAACACAUGCAAGUCGAGCGAGCGGCGGACGGGUGAGUAAUGUCUGGGAAACUGCCUGAUGGAGGGGGAUAACUACUGGAAACGGUAGCUAAUACCGCAUACCAUCAGAUGUGCCCAGAUGGGAUUAGCUGGUAGGUGGGGUAACGGCUCACCUAGGCGACGAUCCCUAGCUGGUCUGAGAGGAUGACCCGCCACACUGGAAAGUAGACACGGUCCAGACUCCUACGUGAGGAAGCAGUGGGGAAUAUUGCACAAUGUGCGCAAGCCUGAUGCAGCCAGGCCGCGUGUAUGAAGAAGGCCUUCGGGUUGUAAAACACUUUCAGCGGGGAGGCGUUACUCGCAGAAGAAGCACCGGCUAACUCCGUGCCAGCCGCCGCGGUAAUAC